CAGGUUUAAAUUAAGGAAAAAUGUUUAAAGAAUUUUCCUCCUCAAUGUUUCUUAGGGUCGAAGAGGCGUUUAUGUUUGUUUAUGAAUAGGUCCUCGAAGGUAAAACAUAGGCUUUAACAUUCUGAGGCCAAGGAUGGAGCUGUGUCUGAUUUAUAAAGUUUCAGACGCAGUAGAACAAUUGACAUGAGAAACUAGUCUUCCUCUGAGGCUGGUGAAGCUGCAGAUCAGCACACACUCAGACUUGGUACAGAGAAACAGACCAUUCUCCCAUUAGCCUUUGGUAUACUUCAGUCACCUGGGGUAGAGUGAUUUCUGUGAUUUCUAAACCUUCUGUCCUACUCAUCUUACAGGCCAUGUCCAUCCUCAGAACUCAUGCUUUCCUUUAUUGUAGCUUCUGUUCUACGACUCCUCUAAUACAUUUUUCUUAGGAGCUUCAUUGAGAUAUAAUUUAUAUCCCAUAACAUUCACAUUUGAAAUGUGGCAUCCAGUGUUUUUUAUUGUAGUCACAGACUUAUGCAACUAUCACAUCGAAUUUUAGAAUAUUUUCACCGCCCUCUGAAAAAAACUAAAUAACAAUUAGCAGUAGCUCCCCGUUUCUUUUCUCUGCCAAACCACUAGCAACUAUUAAUCUAUUUUCUGUCUUUAGCCAUUUGGCAUUCCGAACAUUUAAUACAAAUACGAUCAUUUAAUAUGUGGUCAUUUGUUAGUUUGUUUCUUUUUAAAAUAUGGGCUUUUUGACUGGCUUCUUUCACUUUGCAUAAUGCUUUCAAGGUUCAUCCAGAUUUUAGCAGGUACACAUACUUCAUUCCUUUUUUAUGCCUGAAUGAUAUUUUGUGGUAUUUUUUGCUGUUAUGAAUAAUUCACUGUUUGGCCACCGUAAAUAUGCAUGUAUAAGUCUUUUGGGGACAUGAUUUUAUUUUGGAGGAUAGAUACUUAGAUGUUGAAAUAUUGGUUCAUAUAAUAGAUCUGUGUUUAAAUAUUUGAGGAACACUUCUUGAUGGUAUUGUGACACAAAUCUAUUAUGCAUAUAUGUAUGUAUUUACAUUGAGUAUGCUUUUGGUGUAAUAUCUAUCAAAGGUUAUGAAGAUUUACUGUUAUAUUUUCUUCUAAGAAUUUACAAUUUUACCUCUUACAUUUGUCUCUGUGAUUCAUUUUUCAGUUAAUUCUUGUGCAUGGUGUGAGGUAGGAGGACAAUUUCAUUCUUUUUUGUGCGACAAUUCAGUUUUCCCAGAACUAUUUAUUGACAAGUCAAUAAAGUGAAUUGUAGCAUAGAAAAUAUUGCAUUGAAUUAUCUUGGCACCUGUAUCAAAAGUCAGUUGAUCAUAAAUGUAAGAAUUUAUUUCUGGAACCUUAUUUCUAUUCCAUUAGUUGAUAUAUCUCUCCUUGUGUUAGUACCAUAAUGUCUUAAUUGCUAUAGCUUUGUAUUAAGUUUUGAAACAGGGUAGUAUAUGUCCUUCACCUUUGUUCUUUCUUGCCAGGUUGUUUUGGCUGUUGUGGGUUUCUUGCAUUUCCAGAUGAUUGCAAAGAGCUGUUUCUCAAUUUCUGCAACAAGUGCCAGCUGAAAUUUUGGUACCAGUUUCAUUAAAUAUGUAGAACAAUUUGAGCCUGAGUGAGUUCUGUGGAGCCCAUACUACCUGCGAUUCAAGCCAGCAACCUUGGAAUCUCCCUGAACAAUUUCUAUGGUGUCCAAUCACAUUUGCAAUCACUCCCCACACUCAAUUUUUCACAUGCUAUCCACAGCGCCUAGAGAUCCAAGCUUUUGUGAACAGGGGCUGACUUGUGAAUGUGAAC
rnacentral:lncRNA from 1 species